rnacentral:lncRNA from 1 species
CUCUCUCUCUCUCUCAUUUAUUUACUGAAUCCAAUCCACCUCCGACGAAACCCAUGAAAACAACACUUACUCACUUAUCCGUGUUUUUCUUUUUCUUUUUCCUCAAAGGGUGGGGCUCUUCCUUAUUCCAUCCAUUCCGUGCACCACCUGGCAUUUGGCCUCAUGAUUGGCCACCCCUCACUCUCCAUCUUUCCUUAUUCUUUCUUUCUUUUUAAAGAUUUCAUAGUAUGAUUAAAAAAAUAUAUACUUUGACUGUUUAUAUAUGUAUAUGUAUUAUAUUAUUAUUUUCCCCCUUUUUCUGGAGGAGUUGGGGCUCAUGGAUUGUCACUAAGUUUGUACAAUUGUG